UACGUAGGGGGCUAGCGUUGUCCGGAUUUAUUGGGCGUAAAGAGCGUGUAGGCGGCCAGGUAGGUCUGGUGUGAAAACUCGAGGCUUAACCUCGAGAUGUCAUCGGAAACCAUUUGGCUAGAGUCCGGAAGAGGAAAGUGGAAUUCCUGGUGUAGCGGUGAAAUGCGCAGAUAUCAGGAAGAACACCAAUGGCGAAAGCAGCUUUCUGGGACGGUACUGACGCUGAGAACGCGGAAAGCGUGGGGAGCGAACAGG
rnacentral:rRNA from 1 species